rnacentral:rRNA from 1 species
GGGGGAGCAGUGUUCUCGGGCGGUCUUUUAAUUCGGAUGGGAAUCCCCCGGGCUUAACCUAAGCGGUCCAUUGGAAAUGGGGGGAUUUGGGGGCAGGAAGAGGGAAGGGGAAUUCCACGUGUAGCCGUAAAAUUGGUAGAGAUUUGGAAGAGACACCCCGUGUGGAAGGCGGCUUUUUGGUCUGGAAAUGACGGUGAGGCGCGAAAGCGUGGGGAACAAACAGGAUUUGAUACCCUGGUAGUGCACGCGCUGAACGAUGAGUGCUAAGUGUGUGAGGGUUUUCACCCUUCAGUGCUGCAGAUAACGCAUUAAGCACUCCGCCUGGGGAGUGCGGUCGCAAGACUGAAACUCAAAGGAAUUGACGGGGGCCCGCACAAGCGGUGGAGCACGUGGUUUAAUUUGAAGCAACGCGAAGAACCCUACCAGGUCUUGACAUAUCCUGACCACCCUGGAGACAGGGUUUUCCCUUUGGGGACAGGAUGACAGGUGGUGCAUGGUUGUUGUCAGCUUGUGUCGUGAGAUGUUGGGUUAAGUCCCGCAACGAGCGCAACCCUUGAUUCUAGUUGCCAGCAUUCAGUUGGGCACUUUAGAGUGACUGCCGGCGACAAGUCGGAGGAAGGUGGGGAUGACGUCAAAUCAUCAUGCCCCUUAUGACCUGGGCUACACACGUGCUACAAUGGAUGGUACAAAGGGUUGCAAAGCCGCGAGGCUAAGCUAAUCCCAUAAAACCAUUCUCAGUUCGGAUUGCAGGCUGCAACUCGCCUGCAUGAAGCCGGAAUCGCUAGUAAUCGCGGAUCAGCAUGCCGCGGUGAAUACGUUCCCGGGCCUUGUACACACCGCCCGUCACACCACGAGAGUUUGUAACACCCGAAGUCGGUGGGGUAACCUUUUGGGGCCAGCCGCCGAA